GACGAACGCUGGCGGCGUGCCUAAUACAUGCAAGUUGAGCGAUGAAGAUUGGUGCUUGCACCAAUUUGAAGAGCAGCGAACGGGUGAGUAACGCGUGGGGAAUCUGCCUUUGAGCGGGGGACAACAUUUGGAAACGAAUGCUAAUACCGCAUAACAACUUUAAACAUAAGUUUUAAGUUUGAAAGAUGCAAUUGCAUCACUCAAAGAUGAUCCCGCGUUGUAUUAGCUAGUUGGUGAGGUAAAGGCUCACCAAGGCGAUGAUACAUAGCCGACCUGAGAGGGUGAUCGGCCACAUUGGGACUGAGACACGGCCCAAACGCCUACGGGAGGCAGCAGUAGGGAAUCUUCGGCAAUGGACGAAAGCCUGACCGAGCAACGCCGCGUGAGUGAAGAAGGUUUUCGGAUCGUAAAACUCUGUUGGUAGAGAAGAACGUUGGUGAGAGUGGAAAGCUCAUCAAGUGACGGUAACUACACAGAAAGGGACGGCUAACUACGUG
rnacentral:rRNA from 1 species